GGCUAAUACAAUAAUGCUGUUGGGUCUGUCAGGGUAAGGAUAAUACGAUGAUGCUGAUUGGUCUGUCAGGGUUAGGUUAAUACGAUAAUGCCGAUUGGUCUGUCAGGGUUAGGUUAAUACGAUAAUGCUGAUUGGUCUGUCAGGGUUAGGUUAAUACGAUAAUGCCGAUUGGUCUGUCAGGGUUAGGUUAAUACGAUAAUGCCGAUUGGUCUGUCAGGGUUAGGUUAAUACGAUAAUGCUGAUUGGUCUGUCAGGGUUAGGUUAAUACGAUAAUGCUGAUUGGUCUGUCAGGGUGAGGUUUAGGUGAUUUUUUUAUUUUACCUUUAUUUAACUAGGCAAGUCAGUUAAGAACAAAUUCUUAUUUUCAAUGACGGCCUGGGAACAGUGGGUUAACUGCCUGUUCAGGGGCAGAACGACAGAUUUGUACCUUGUCAGCUCGGGGAUUUGAACUUGCAACCUUCCGGUUACUAGUCCAAUGCACUAACCACUAGGCUACCCUGCCGCCCAUGCUGAUUGGUCUGUCUGGGUUAGGUUAAUACGAUAAUGCUGAUUGGUCUGUCAGGGUUAGGUUAUGGUGAUAAUGCUGUUGGGCUGUCU